UACGAGGGGGGCAAGCGUUGUUCGGAAUUAUUGGGCGUAAAGGGCGCGUAGGCGGUGCGGUAAGUCACCUGUGAAAUCUCUGGGCUCAACUCAGAGUCUGCAGGCGAAACUGCCGUGCUGGAGUAUGGGAGAGGUGCGUGGAAUUCCCGGUGUAGCGGUGAAAUGCGUAGAUAUCAGGAGGAACACCUGUGGUGUAGACAGCUUACUGGACCACUUCUGACGCUGAGGCACGAAAGCGUGGGUAGCGAACAGG
rnacentral:rRNA from 1 species